AUUGAACGCUGGCGGCAGGCCUAACACAUGCAAGUCGAGCGGAUGAAGAGAGCUUGCUCUCUGAUUUAGCGGCGGACGGGUGAGUAAUGCCUAGGAAUCUGCCUGGUAGUGGGGGAUAACGUUCCGAAAGGAACGCUAAUACCGCAUACGUCCUACGGGAGAAAGCAGGGGACCUUCGGGCCUUGCGCUAUCAGAUGAGCCUAGGUCGGAUUAGCUAGUUGGUGAGGUAAUGGCUCACCAAGGCGACGAUCCGUAACUGGUCUGAAAGGAUGAUCAGGCACACUGGAACUGAGACACGGUCCAGACUCCUACGGGAGGCAGCAGUGGGGAAUAUUGGACAAUGGGCGAAAGCCUGAUCCAGCCAUGCCGCGUGUGUGAAGAAGGUCUUCGGAUUGUAAAGCACUUUAAGUUGGGAGGAAGGGCAGUAAGUUAAUACCUUGCUGUUUUGACGUUACCGACAGAAUAAGCACCGGCUAACUUCGUGCCAGCCGCCGCAGUAAUAC
rnacentral:rRNA from 1 species